CUGUUGCCCUAAAAAUGCAAACCGGCGCCUCAGGGCAUGGAAUCGGGAGCAGUUCAGAAGGGGCUCCCCACCGUUCCCCCUCCCUACAGCACACUGGACGCGAGUCCACAAGAAUCUUUACCCUUGCGUGGAAGGACGCAAGGAAGAAGGUGACCAGCCCAACGGCACAUGGACUCACUCUCUCUAGGGGAAUCGUCCGAGCGGACACAGAUGACCGAAAAGACUGAAUCCCCUCUCGCCCGCCCUACAUCUUUGCCUACGGAGAAAACUCUGGAAGAUCGAAGCUGCCAUUACAAUCAUUCCGAAAGAAGCACGACGGAAUCCGCCGCCAGGCACCGCAUCCUCAGACGCGAGCCAUCAGAGUGCCAUCAGCGUCGCCCCACGUCAAGCGCCGAGGCGGGAUCCCAAACCACGCGGCCCCAGGUUGAAUCCCGUCUCCAGCCAUCGUCUCUGGCUGGGGCAGACGAGAGCCGAGAGUGAAUGACGGAUCAGGGAGAGACUUCAUCCCUCGGAAGGACCCUGAAUGGGAGCAGUCUUUCUGAGGAGAAGUAGGCUACCUAAUAGGUGGGUUGAUGACAGCUGAAGAAGACUGUAUUUGCUGAAGAGCAGCAUGAUGGUAGAGAGGAGCAGAGUUCCUGAGGGAGAUCUAAUGGCUCCUCUCCUUCCUGCACAGAGAUAAAGACUUAUAAUAAGCGUGUAUGUUCACCAUCUGGCUCUGUGCAUGUGGUCCUUAUGGAGGGAAAAGCAGUGCAAUCUGUAAGUGAUCAGAAGCCAUAGUGCUCUCUCCAGAGAAUCCGCGAUGCAAUCAAGGUGACAGAUGGCAUGGUCACUGCUGUGGCCUCAUGGAGAAGAUCAAAAUCACCUUCAAUAAAGUCUGACUGAAAUGGGCAUGAGAACCUCCAAAAAGUCAGUUUGUCAGUCAAACGGCGACAGCGAGCUGCAUCGGGGAAGCAGAACGGCCAGCUCUCUGUUUUCAAUCGUUUCCAUCUGACUGAACCUGAACUAUGAUCUUUCUCAAAUUGUCCUUUCUGUUUAGCUGGAGCAGGCCAGCAAAUUGCCAGAUUCAUAGCUUUAUUGAAGGAAAUUGAAAACAUGAUGUCCUCAAUUCAAGGGACAAACAGCUGGCAGGUUUUUGGGACACCCACUCUCCUGAAGCGGACACCCUUGCCUUCCGCGGAAGUUUGUCCAACUUGAAGGCAGAGCGUUAAAAUGAAGAGGGGGCGGGGAAGAAAAACAACCCUCCGGCAUCAGUCUGCUUCGACAGGGACCGAUUUACGGUGGAAAGGAAUCUCUUGCGACGUAUCAGAGGCCCGCAGGCUUCCUUCCCCUUCUCCGGAUGUUGCUUCGUUAUCAACGAGACGAUGCCCUCGGUCAGUCACAUGCUGGGCGCGAGAGAUUGGUGAGCCGUUUCAGCCCCGGUCACCUGAUGGAUGGGGGAUCAUCGCCUCCCGAUGUCCUCAGUGACUCGACCCCUCCUGAGAAUGCUGUUUUUGAAGUUCUCCACGCUUUCUCCCUCUGAGAGAAAUGAACGGCAGUCACUUGGAGCAGCCUGAAUACUCAUACACACGCUCUCUGCCUUCCUGAGCCACCCAGGACUCCCGCCAGGCUAAAGACAAAAGGGGAAAGAAGAACGAGAGGAAGGAUGAAAUUGCAGUUCUUCCCCUCCCGGCGACUGACUGCGAUCCACCGUUGUGUCUCCUGGGCAAGAUUUCGUGUGAGGAGAGAAAAGAUGGUGUGGUCGCCAACCAACCAGGACACAAGGCUCCAGGCCGAAGACGAUGAGGCGGCAGUUGAGUGGGAGGAAUGGGGGGGGACUCUCUUGGUCUGGACUCUUGAAUGGCGGAAGCGAGGGGGGGGGGCCCAGGCUGGCACACCCUGCUCCACGCACCCGUCAGCACCGGGGAGGAGACAGCAGGUAUUUGUGCCUCGAACCAGCUUUCACGAACGGGCUGCCAUUUGGGCACUUCAUUGGGUGCAUAUUUACAGGCUGUUGAGGAGUGAGUUGAUGACAGGAAGAGUCUGUUCUGAUCAGCAUCUCGCUUUCCAUGUCGAGGCACGUAGCGGGCUUGGCGCUACGGACCCCGCAGGCCAGCUCCCACCUGCCCUCUCUUUCCGGGGCAGGGGCCGCUGAGAGCAGGUGAAGCUCGGGCCCGCCACUUGUUCGUGCCAUCCCGGCCCAUCAGGGGCUAGAAGACAAGGUUGGGAGAGAGCUGGGAAGGACCAGGGCUUCGCUCUGUGUAAUAAAAGGUAGUUUCUUUGUUUGGCAAA